AGAGUAGGGCAAGCCUUUCUUCAGCAUUCUCUGUGGUCAUAAUGUCAAUCAGUGCCAAAGAGAAAGAGGUGACUGACUGGCUGAUCAAUGAAUAUGCAUGGAUCCUAACAGUAAAGGAGCUCCUGGUGGGCUCUGAGGUGCCUGCUUUUCACUGUUGUAGCAGAAAUGCUAAGUCAUGGCCUGAACCAGUGAUUGAGCACCUGGUGGGAAGGCAGGGCCAACCCAGGGGAGCUCAGCUGCAUGUGGAGCACCUGAGUGAUUGGAAGGCAUGGAGCCAGGAUCCACCCCUUCCCAGACUUCAUUUAAGGGUUAGCAGUGGAGGUGAGGAUAUCUUGUUGGAGGUUACUGCUUACUGAAGGUCUUCAUAAGUGUAUGCUGGUGGAGCAAUACCAAGUUAUCUCUCAAACUUCCAAAGCUGGCUGGAGCUGGAUGUGAGGUUUUUACAAGGUAACCACCAAAAGCAGUAAAGUGAAAGCUACAGAACUGGCAGACAUCGGUAUCUAAUAGCUGGUGUCCUUCCUCCUUUCCUGCUGUUACAUAUGCUCUGUGAAAUGGUGUCAAUGAACAGAAGACAACCAAGCCUGCUUUUUCUUUUCCCAACUCAUCAUACAGUGUACCUUGUCUCACCUCCCAGCAAACUGGAUCAUAAAUUAUUUAAGGUUUCCUCAUCUUCAGAAUGCUGAGAUGAACGCACUGAAAUAUUCAGAGACUGGAACCUAAAAGAUUAUAGUGAUGAUUCAAUAAUUCUUGCUAACAACAGAAAUAAAAAUCUUGCCUUUUUCCUAGUAUUUUAAAUAUGGAGAAUUCAUUUUUCUCUUUCAAUUUUUCACACUAUAUCAACAAACUGUUCAAGACACAUCAGUGUUAAAUGAAAGGGCGUAAACGUACAGCUGAAAUGCAAAUGUAUGUCAUCAGUCCGUUUAUAUCUUCCUUGGAAAAUGCUUCACCCUCUCUUUAUUUUUUACUCUGUUCUCUGCAAUUGGGAAAACAACAUUGCUUUAUGUGUGCACUGGCAAUUAAGUCUGGUAUUUUUUAAUUUUUUUUUUCCUUAUUACUAGUUCUUUUCUUGGUGCUCACAGGAGAACUUUGCAAAGCUGAAUACACAAAGUUCCUUUUCAACACUAGUAUUGAUUUUCUUUUGUCUUUUAACAGACAGCAACCUGUACCCAACAUGAAAAAAAAAAUAACAAGCAGAUAGCACUCAAGCAGCAAAAUCAACAUUCUUAUUCUUCAGUUAAUGACUAAUGUGAGCAAGAUGAGGUCCAGCAGCACUCCAACAGAACAGAAGAGAGUCCUUUAUUCCCAAAGCAUCAAUGAUAUGGUCAAUAGUUAAAUCCAAUAAGUGAUAUUUUUUCCCUCUUCUUGAACCUAAAAAUUAAGAAAUGAGAGCUCUACAGCUCUUUUUCUUACCUGUAUAUGAAUUACUUGACUGACAUUGCCUUUCAAAAAGAGCUGCAAAUAUGUUAAGCCAGGAGGGUAAAGAAAAUGAAUCCUACUCAUUAAUUAGCAUUACUACAUAGUGCAAGUAUGCACAAUGUGGAUUUGAAGAUGGAUCUCCACCUUUUACGUAUAACCUGGCAGGCGUACAAGUGACAAUGUAUCGUAGCAUUUUGUGUAAACCCUUGUGAAAGUUCUGUCCUUGGUGAGAUACAGAUCUAGGAGAACCAACAUACAGAUGGACAGGCGAUCAAGAAAAAAACAAACAGGAAAUAGCAGGCUGAAGAGAAGAUACACACAUGCAAAGAAAUAGUGCUUAAAUUCUUCUAAGGUCUGAUAAGAGGAGACUGAUGGUCCAGCUGAACCUGCAAAAAGUGAUAGAACUCCAAAUUGUACUGAAUUUUUUCAAAGCAACUGGUACAUAGUAGCAUCAACAAUAGGUUGUAUCACAUGGAUCAUACCCAGGAGGGUAGAGGCUGCAGUAUUCUGACAGACCCUGGUGUAAUACAUGCACCCUAAUGGGUCUCCCAGACCUACCUCUAGGCCACUCUUUCAGUUGGCCUCCAGCUGUUACUCCGUCCACAUAACUGUGAGUAACCCUAUGAGAGCAUGUGUGUGUCUGAACUGUAAAUGGAUGUAUGGUGUGAAUUAUUAAUUAUUAUAAAGCUGUGGCUAAUAAUGAAAGCUUGAGUCUAUUCAUAAUAUAAAUAUAUGUGAACCUAAGUAGUAAAAGGUGUUUUAAUAAAUAUUGGUCAUGAUCUGUCUCCCCAGCUUGAUUGCCUACCAGAGAAAAUGGUAUUUAUAAUAAUGAAAUUUCCUUUCUACUUGGAAAAGACAGGAGAUGAACCAUUGAAUUCAGCAUGCUAGGUAGCUGCAGAGAGGACCCUCCCCCCUUCAUCUAAAUGUUGAGCAGUAGCUUUAUUUCCUGAAUGUACCCAUCCAUUAUCUUCUACUGACAAUAAACACCUUACAAUUUCUUUUUAGUAAGAUCUUUAUGAGCCUUCAGUUCAUGUUAAGUUUAAAAGGGUCGUAUUCCUUUGUUUUGACAGUGCAAAGGAUUCUGGUUUACUUUUAGCUGUUUUUGAAGCUUAAUUGGAGCCAGAAGGCUGGAUCAUCAGUAGACAUAAUGUAUUAUCAUUAACUUCAUGAGGCAAUUUCUCAUGUACAAUUUUGCUAGUGCAGACAUUCUAGCUUUUAGUUUAAUUGAAUUUGUUGAUAAAUCUGUCAUGACAUGCUUUCUAUAUAUGAUCCUUCUACAAAAAUACUUUUACAGAAUAAAAUUCAGUUCAUGAAUGGGAUUGGAGAAAAAGCUCAUAUACAGUUUAAUCAUAUUUAACUGGUUUCUAAUAAGCAGUAGAAAUUACUUACAUUGGUCCUCUCUUCAUUUAUAAUUUUCUCAUUAACAUUUGAAAAAUAAGUAGUGAGAAACAAACCCUAUGCUGAGAUCACACAUUUCAGCAAAUGUUUUCUUUAAAUAUUACCAAAUUUGUCAUCACUGAAAAUGGAAUAAUUUUCAUUUCACCCAUGAGGGCAGUAAACAAAUGUACUAUUGCCUGCGGUGUCUUUGUAUUAGUAUUUCAGUUUCUGUACUUGUCCCCAAGGCCAAGGAGCAGGACUUUAUGUUGCCAACGUGCUGUGUUUCAUCAGGUUGUGUCUUAGUAUAUACAUGUUACUUUAGAUCUAAGUAGACGUGACAGAAGGUAACAGACUAUACUGUGGUGCUGCAGUGUCAGCCUGCGCACCAGAAAGAUUAGAAAAUACAGUGCUGUAAGCACGUUGACUGGAAAGGAGAGAGCAAACAUAGCCAACAUCGAGUUUUUUUGACAUGAAGUCAAAUAAUUGGAGCGCACAUGCUCCUUCAUUGAAAAAAAAAAAAAAAAACCACCACCUUGUUACUGCUGUGAGAAUAACAGUUUGCUUUUCGUUUUGGUUUGGCAGCAAGUGAUCAUCACCCUCAAUUGAACUGAAGGAGACAGCAAGGCAGACUCACAUACAUUGUAGGUACAGGGAAAAGGAAGCAGUGACUAUGCACUACUGGAUUUAACACAUUUUAUUACUGUAUGCUGUACUUAAAAAAAAAAAAAUCCUCUGAAUUUGUGCUUUUGCUGUUGUUUUCCUGCUAAGGAUGAAUGUUUGUUUGUAUAUGAGAAGCCUACUGCCUUCAGUUGGCUUAUUUUUAACAACCUUGCUUAUUACAAUGCUACAUUUUGAAUCUCUUUGACCACAAUGCAAGAUGUUCUACUUAAAGGUUUCUUGAUGUUAUUGUACUGAGAGAAUUUACUUCAGUAGCCCUAAAAGCCAUUCCAGGAAUAAGACUUGAUCCUACACUCAAUUACCUGUCCACAUUCCAUCAAACAUCUGAAAAGAGGUUAAACAAAAUGGAAGGACAACCAGUCCUUAGAUUAGACAGUAAAUGUUCUCUGGGAAUUGACUUUCUUCUUUCCCCUUAAUGCAGCAAAAAAUGCAGCAAGCAUCUUGGCAACAUCAAAACUAGCCUCGCUUUGGUGACUGCCAUACUGUUUUACAAACUCAAUUAUCAAUCAUUUUAAUUUCACUGCAAUUUAUAUUAAAAAAAAAAAAAUGCAGAGGAGGACUCGUACUACAGAGGAAGAUGCAAGACCAGCGUAGUCAUGCACAACAGCACAGUCCUUAAAAGUUAUUAAAACCAUUCAGUGGGAGAAGGGAAAUAAAAUCAGGUCAUCUUAAUUCAAAGUGCUAUUUUAUUUUCAUUGUCACUUGGCUUUUGAGAUUCAACAGCCCUAUCCAACCAUCAUAAUCUCUCUCUCAUUUGACAAUUACAUGAUUUUUCUAAAUAAACACUUACCUUUGGGAAUUUUUACCUGUCCAGCUUCUCAGACCUUUCAAGUAGAAAUUUUCAGUGAAACGUCUAUUCACAUCAUUCAGUAAUGUGGAGUAAUACACAGAGAGUUACCACUUCUUACGUUACAUGAAAAUGUAUUAAUGUCAUUAAAAUGACAUCAAAAAGAUUAUGAAAAAUGAGACAUUUGACCAUGAAUUUGGUGACUGUGGCCAUCUGGGUACUUAGGACAACUUGUAACAAAACUUUAGCACACUCUGAAACAGAAAUGGAAGAUAAUAUUUUGAUAGCAGUUGUUCAGCAAGGUACACCCACGUGCAUUUAUUAGCAUGCUAAUACAUACGACAGUGUAAGAGUCAGGGAGAGAAAGUGUAAGUGCCUAAGUGGAAAUGCAGUGAAUAACCCUAAGGAUUAAAGUGCAUCAGAUCUUUACAGCAAAUGACAGAGGCCCACUUUCAGUUACUGGAAAAAUACCUCUGGUGCUUUUAUGAAGUAUUUUUCUCUGUGAGGUUUCAAGGACAAAAUGAAGAGGGUUUUUUUGUUGUUGUUUUUCUUUUUUCUUUUCUUCUUUUUUUUUUUAACUCAUCCCAGAAUCAGGCUUGCUUAUUUUAUUUUUUAAUUAUCCCUCCUUAUACCUUGAAACACCUUUUGGAGAAAGGUUCUAUACACAGUUCUAUACUUCACAAUGACUCUGGGAUUUUUACUUUUAACAUCUUGUCAUCUAUAUAACAGGAGCUUGUUUGUCUUCCCUCCGCAGCUAUACAAUGGCUUCAUUUCAUUUUUGAAAAAGUAUAAGAAAAUACCCAAGCCUGAAGACAAAAAUGUUCAAAGCUGCGUUUUUGAUCAUUUAAACAUCAAUACCUCUGGCUGCACACAAACUAUUCAGAAACCUUACACAGAGCUGGCAGAAAGCAAAGAGACAUUUUUCAUAGUACUGCUAACAAUUAAGCCUCUUGUCUCCUAAAAGCAAGCUCAUGCCUUUGGAAGCUUCUUGUCCCAAACAGAUUUGGUCACUGCCAGCCUCAAACAGGAACCAAUAAUGACUUACAUGCAUUGAUCUCAGUUAUGUGGUUGCUGGAAUUGUUAUUUAAAUUCUUAAUGUAAGAAUAUAGACUAUACUGGAGAAAGCAUAAGCUUCAUAGGGGAGAAACACAUAAUAAUUCCUUCUUCAUUAGAAGUAAGGCUCACUUGUUCCAGCCCUGAAACUAUGGCAAAUAGUUUGUCCAUGACAAAGUUGUUAACUGACUCCAUUUACUGUCUUAGCAGGCAGUACUCACAUCUGGACAUGUGCAAGACAGUUCCUAAUCAACGUUUUCCAGGAACAGGCAGCUAAUGGUCAAAAUGGCAAGAAACUGAAACUCCAUCCUUAUUGAAUCAAAGAUUAAGAAAUACUUGUAGAUGAAGAUUUCAGGUUCAAUUUUUUCUCUCUAUAGAAAUAGUCUCUCCCCCUCUACAAGGAGCAGAGAGCAGAUUUCCCCAAACCUCAAAGAUCAUGUUUGGGUCUUGGAAUGCAGCCUGGAGAAAGAAAGUCUGCAGGACACCAUACUGAACAUGCCCCCUGGGCAAGUGUCUGCACAUUUUCAUGGAGAUUCAGUCACUUAACUAGUAUAAAAGUCAGAGUGUACAGUUUGUUUCUUCUUUCUGGUCACUUUUAUCUUUAGAAGACUUUGUAACGGUCUAUAUUCCAACUUUUCAAUAAUGAGACCUUCUUACAUAAUUGUUUGGACCUUUAUAUAGCAAAUCAAACUUCUCUUAACUGACGUUUUUGGUGGAGGAAGUUGAUUCAGAUGUGGCAAGGAUAGUCUGAGCUCACAUUAUUUGGUAGAUCCAGUUCAGUAAUAAUUAGGUGCAGGCUUUAUCCAGCAUUGCAACACUUAAUGAAGAAAACCAUUAGCAUCAGCAAGGGUGAAGAGAGAUAGAGUCCUAAAAAGAUGUUCCUAGUGCACUGAUUUCACUCAACAAAUACAGAAAAACACAAAUAUUCCACCUAGUAUUUCUUUCUCUCCCAUAAUCUGUUCCUAUUUCUCCACUUCUAAAACACAUAGCAACAUACUGGAAUAAGCUCUGCAAGUUCAUUACCUAAUGUUGCAUUUUUGUCCAAAGAAUGUCACCGUACAUCCAGUCUUGUUUUCACCAUUAAUUUGGCAGCACCAUGUAGCAGAAGUCUGAUGAGACACCUUCCAAACAAUCUCACUCACUCAUUCUCUCCUAAUGUAUCCAAACAGCCUAACUGGAACUCACAGGGAAUAUUACAGACAUUUUAGUAUCAUAUGUAUAUUUGUAUGUAAAAUUUAUGCCAAUACUGGCAAUAAAAAAUACCAAGAGCUUUGAGUUUAAUUUGAUGGCAGAAAUAGAAAUCAGAAUCUGGUUAAUAUCUUCAAAAGCCAGUGUUAAUUGGCUGAUUAGUUGGAGAAUGAGGAAAUAAUUUUUUCAGCCACCAGUUUAAGUGAGAGCAUUAAGUUAUGCAAAAUAACUUUGAGAAUCAAAUAAUUAGACAAAUAAUACACAAGGCCAGUAAUGUGUGACCAUCAGCAAACAGCAAAUGUAUGAACAAUGGAACAGUAUUAUUCUUUUAAUACUGUUUAGCUGUAAAGAAUCCCUGUGUAUCCCUUGGAUUAAUUUUUUUUUCAAGUUAUUACAUUCAAUCAAAUGUAUGAGAAAGCAAACCAUUGAUUUACUGCUGUCAAGGAGUACUUAGUGUAGCAGUUUAAACAAAGCAUGGCUGUCUCCAUAUAUAAUUCAUGUUUAUUAUGAAUGUAAAGGAGAAGAAAAAUGCUACAAGUGUACGUGUAGGCUCAGCUAUGUAAAUUCCUGUUGUUUUCUGAACGUAAUAAAUACAGUGUUUACCUGUGGAAAUAAUCAAACAAAUUUCCUGCACUGAAUAGGUACUUUCCAGAAGUCAGUGUUAAAAACAUUCUCCAAACACUCAUUGCUUCAUUCCCAACUAAAGCAAAUCAUUUGUUUUUUAAAAGCUGUCUGGAUUUGCUGCUUUAUUCUUAAUGUGCUUGACUCAUAUGCAUCACAGAUCUUCAAAUGGAUCUAAAAACAGGUCCUAGGUUACUUUUUUUUUUUUUUUUUUUUUUUUUGUGAGGGAUAGUACUGAUUUAAAGAAUAGUUCAGUCUUCUUCCCCCCUUCUUGAAACCUCGUUCUUGCGUUAUUGAGCUUUUGUAAUUCAAGUAGCGUUUAGAUAUAAAAAGGGCAUUCAGAUCCUGUCACUCUCAAAAACCUGAAUGUUCAGUUGAGUUAUAUUUUGGAUUUAGGCUAGUAAUAUAUCAGUGGUUAUGUCAAGACGUCUUUGAAAUGCUGAACUUCUGGUUCACUCGAUUUCAUUAGCUGAUGUUUUCUCCUUUCCCAGCUCUGAGCACCACAUUACAGCAAUGAGCUCUCUCUCUCUCUUUCAUUCUAGGAGUUUGUAAUGCCUUCAGCGGAUGCCCCCUACUUUUCUCUUAUCCUAAUAAAAAACGGAAAAUCACUUGGGCUUUGUUCCUCAAUUACAUAUUCACCAAGUUAACUCUGACAUGGGAAAAGUAAAGUUCUAGGUGUACAUUUCUAAUUAAAAUACCAUUCCAAUUACGAUCUUGAAAUCAGAAUCCUACUGUGUAGUGGUUUAUUAUGAAAUGCAUCUGAACAAAGCAACACAGCCCUCCACCCCCUUUUUAUUUUUCUUGUCUCUUCAGCAAAAUAAUAAGCUCAGAACACCAAACUAAUCAGAAAUAGCAUAUCAGAGUGAAUGAGAGCAUGUCUAAGUCCCCUGAAGGCAUAAUAAUGAUAGUACUUGCUAAGGUCACUAUUUUAAUUUCAAACUACAGCAACAACUCUUUAAAAAAAUAAAUUCACAACCAAGAACUUAGUAUUAGCACAGUGUCACAGCAUAUUUACAGAUGUUAUAUCAUGUCUGAGUACUGAAAAUAACCCCAGAGUGAAUAGCUUCAAUUGCCUAAAUACAGGAACUCAUUUAGACCAUAGAGAACAAUCAACCAGAAAUCAUAAAUACUCUGGAUAACAGAAGUCACCAAUCAUCAUCCAAUUACCUGAAUAGAUAGGCUGGGUGCUUUUAGAAAGAGAGUUGUUGUGUUAAUUCUUGUCUGUUUCUUUGCCUGUAAGGUCUUCAAAAAAUAAUAAAUCUGAUCUUGAAAUAAAUAAGGUUUCAACUUCUCUUAUACUUUAUUAUAAUUCUUAGCAGAUUAGACUUGGUAAGACUCUUAGCAUUUUAAAUCUUAAAAUACAGUCUUUAAAUAAGCUUGUCUUUGCUGACCUGUCACCUCUAAGUUAUUUGCAGAGAACUUUGAUUAAGUAGCAUUAACUAAGUCUCUUCCUUAAAUGAUUUGGAAAAAUGCAACUUUAAAUAGGUCAUUAAAAAAAAAAAAAAAAACACCAAAAACUUUCUGCACUACUUUCCACAUCUCUUCCCUACAGUCUGCCUUAAUAGGUAAAGCCCUGUCUGCAUUUGCAAGGGGUUGCAGCCCUUACUGCCAACACAGACAAGGUGUUCAGUUAGACAGGUUCUGUCAGAGACCUCAAAGCUUUCAGUGUGGACCCUCUGCCUACUGGAAAUAAUGUAUUUUACAUGGAAAGCAUCUUUCUCGCUCCCAACUCCUAUGAUCUCAGUAAAUUUUUGAGUUCUGUACAGCAUACUCAGAGCUCUCUGCAAUCCUAUUUCAUUAGUGAGUGGGGUAGCCUUUUUCAGCUAUAGGUCAUGCCAGAGAUUUUACACCUACCUUUGUUCCCCACUUGCCUCCAGGAAAAUGCCAUUGUAUCAAAACAGAUUUGUUAUUCUCUCUCUCUCUCUCUCUCUUUUUUUUUUUUUUUUUUUUUUGGUAGGAAUACACUGAAGUUCCCUUUUUGUGUUUUGUAGUUAUGAUUGGGGCCAACAGCUAGUUGCAGUUUAAUCAUAACACCAACAGGAGUUUUAAAUGGCUUAUGUUUCUAUAGCUCGUCAAUGGUCUACGAAAAAAGCCCCACUAUGUGAAAUUAAAUUAAUCUGCAAAACUAGCCUGGUAAGCCUAUGAAGCACAUCUCUUUUGAAUCCUGUUUUGUAGCAAGCUAGAAAAAGCUUAGGGGUAGAGCACUAUUUUAAUUUCUUACAUUCUCACUUUCGACAGAGGCAUUCAAAAAUAAACAACUCAAUUUUUUUUUUUUUUUCAAAUUGCAAGUAAAGUCUGAUCUUGGCCUUGAGCAGGAUUCUGAUCAUUUUUGUCAAGUCCCUUUCAAUAGUCAGUUGCCACUAACAGACUUCAACCUCUACUACAAAUGGCAAAUAGUCACAGAAGUUUUUAAAGCAGUACGUGAAAUUAGGCUCUGUCUCUGACAAACUGGCAACCUAGUAUUGAAAAUCUUUUGUGAUAAUCAGUGGCUCCCAUAGUCCCAGAAUCUCCAGAGAAGUACAUGUUACUGAGGGAAGAUAACAAUCAACACAAUUUCAUUAGAAAAUGCAUUUCUUUUACCUUUGUGAACUGCAUAUACAACAAAAAGUUGCCAUUUCUGUUUACGUGGCAGGCAUAUCACAUUUCAUUCUGUUGGUUGUGCAUUGGGAAGUAACCUACAGCAGAAGUGAAAUGACUGCAUGUAUUUACUUUGCAAUAAAAACACCUUUCUUGAAACAUUUUCAGCUGACCUUUUUUGGUCCUGUUAACUAGAAAAGGAGUUGUUACCGAGAUUGGUUUAGAUGCAAUAAUUGCUUAAACAUGACAUUUAGGAUUCUCUCAGAGGUGAGAUGCAAUAAGGCACCUUUUCCCAAUCAGUGAGCAACGACUUAUAUGUCUUUCCAUUCUCCUUAUCCUCAGCCAUUUCUCAACACAGCUUGUACAUAAGUACCUCUGUAGAGAAUGCAGCAAAAUUUCAGCCUGUAGGAAGUUUGAGCUGUUAAGAAGAUGAGCACAGCACUAAUAAAAUCUAAACACUUAUAGUCAAAUCUUGUUCCUGAUGCUGCUAAAUGGGAACUUACAGCUUAACAUAAUAGGCAAUUUAGCAUACAAAUGUGCCCCAUAAAAGCAGGAUGUUGGCAGCGCAAAACUAUAAAUGUUAACCUUUGGGCAAGCUGUUACAAAUGUGCUACAGGCUCUUGCAAUUUUAAUGAACUUGUUUGUACAUACAACAUUUUGUACUAAACACUAGGGAUAACACACACACCCAAUGAUGAACACCUUCAGAAAUUCAGACUUGUGGGAGUUCAUCAAGAAGCACUGGCCUAAAACAUUAGUUACCUGCUUUUGAAGAGAAAAGCCUUGCCAUCAUGAAGCUAUAUCCUAGUCAUCUGUUAUCAGUCGUUUGUGUCAGAAGGCAACAUUUCCCCCCCAGAAGAGUGAUUGGGAAACAAUGCAUAACUCUCCUAACAGAGUUAGAGAAGACAUUUGUAACUCAUAGGGUUUGUGAUAAAAACUUACAUCCUAGAUAGGUAAAGACAUUAAUGAAUGCCAUUUUUGCAAGUCACUAAUUUUGGUAAGUUUCUGGAAAGGCAGAAGACAUUGUAAACGUAGGAAAUCUGUACUAAUUGCAAACUUCCAUCAGGCUAAAAACAACUAAUGGUUGUGUUAUGAUCUAGCAGACACUUGCAAUCUUUUACUGAAGGUAAUCUGGGUUUGAUGAAUCAGUGUUUAAGUAUCUCCAAAUCAGAUGGCCCUGUAGAACAACCAGGCUAAGUUGCUCUCUUCUGGGGGAAGCAUUUGCACGCAUUUUCCACAAGCUUUGCUGCUUGUUAACACAUUAAUUACAAUUCACCUUGAUAGCAAAUAUGUUUUCAGAUCAAGCCUCUUGUCAUUUGUCUUUGUAGGCCACUUGAUUCUAAAGUAGAAUUAUUAAUAACUAUUGUUUCAAGCUAGAUGUAAGAAAGAUUGAUGAUAGAAAAAAAUAGAUCGUAUUCACUCCUAACCAAAUUCACUGCCAAACUUUUCCACUUUAUGCCGUGUGAUUGUCUCAGCAAAAUAUCAAAUUUUCAGUUCACGUUCACACUGUUUAAUAACAUGAUGUCUUCUGAAAUAUGCAUACCUAAUAAUGCUUUUACCUUCGUAUUCCUUAAUGUAAGUACUCACAGAACUGUAUUUGCUAUGAGGUUCUUUUCUUUAGUCAACAACCUUAUCUGCCAGCAAAGUGUGGGUCUAGAUAAUUCAUACAGAGCAGCAAAGUUACUUAGGGAUUUCUUCUCACAAUUUCUUUCAUUCCCCAUUGUGAAUAUAUGUAUGAAUAUAUAUAUGCACACAUAGGUAACAAUCUGGAGGGAGGGGAGUAAAGUUAUUGACAGUUUGCAAUUAUGUGGCACAGCCAAUGAGAAAAGCUCCUCCAGCAGUAUGCUUUAACAUGCAGAACAGUAUCUAAUUUGGAUCCUAGAAUAUUUAAAAAAUCUGCUUAAUGUUUACUUAUACUUACAGACUCAGAAUAACAAUUUUAUGUGUCUCUCAAUGUACAGUUCUCCAUAAUCUCAGUACAAUCUUUACACAUCUCAUUCCCAAUCCAGAUCCACUAGAAAAAGUGCUGAAGUUCUCAAAAAGCAGAGUUAUUAUUAUUUCAAUUUCACUAUAAUAAAGUCACAAGGUCAUUUCUCCCAAUUCAAGCAAGCAAACAGUCAGAAAUCAUCUUCCAUACCCAUCCAUGUAAUACUCAUAAAAGAACCUACAAUUCAGAAAACCAAAUUUUACAUUGCUUUAGAAGUAUUCACUGGCUGCUUUGUAACAGCUUUGCUAGUAGAGGUCCAUUUCUUUGCAGCACAGUUGGCCUCAAAAUGAGAAAGCUUGUUUCUCUUGGGUAAAGAACCCAUCCACCAGACUCCAAUUUAUCUGAGCCAAGACUAGGAGAGCUACACUGGUUUAAGAAUCAUACAACGGCUUACGAUGGAAGUGACCUUAAAGAUCAUCCAGUUCCAACUCCCUGCCAUGGGCAGGGCUGCCAACCACUAUCAGGCUGCCCAGGGCUCCAUCCAACCUGGCCUUGAAAGUCUCUAGGGCAUCCACAGCAUCUCUGGGCAACCUGUUCCAGCCCCUCACCAUUCUGAGUAAAAAACAUCUUUCUUCCUAACCUAAGUGUCCUCUUUUUAGUUUCAAACCAAACCAUCCCCCCUUGUCUGUUGCAAAUACUUAAUUUUUAAAAUAAAUUUUUUCUUCACUUAAAGUACAAAAUUUUAGUUAUGAUUCAAAUCCUCUAACACUAAGGAAAAAAAGUAAGAUGAACAUUAGCAUUACGCCCAAUAAUGUUGCUUUUUAUUCUUGGUCUCAAUGACAGCACACAGAGAUGAAAUACGUCAGAUAUAAAAAUAAGCAAUAAUAAACUGAAAAUACAGCAGUUUCAUUUCCUUAUAUAGUUAUAAUAGAAAUUGCUGUCCUCCUAGUUAGCUAAGAAUUAGCUUUGUUAGCUGGCUUUCCAGCUUUCCAACUACAUUUUUUCAUAGUACGAAGAGUUACCCUGAAGGAAAAUCCUUGGGGUUGCUCUUUCUUUUUCAGCUCGUUGCCUAUUAUGAUCCCUUGGGGGAAGGGAAAAAAAAAAAAAAAAAAAAAAAAAAAGCUCAGUGUGGCUCCACUUAUGGCAAAAGACAGAAUCGGGACAGGAGUACAUUGCUCCCAUUAGUCUUGUGGAAGAUGUUCAGUGUCAAUAGAAGUUGAAGAUACACCAAGCACACAGACCCUCAGACAAACAUCAUAAGAAACACAGCUUCUUGUAGCCUUACUGCCUCUGACCUUCCUAAGUAUGAAUAGUGUGUCAAGUAAAGAAAAAAAUAAGCAAAAAGCAUUUGCUAGAUACAUUUUUUUCUGAAAACAUCCCAAUAAUAACAGGAAAAACAUUACUUUUCAUUUACUGGUUUUAGGAAACUCAGAAUUUUCUUGCCACAUUAGAUCUGUAGCAAUUGCACUAUGCUUGUGUGAAAGUGUCAGGUGAUCUGAAAUACGAGUUUGCUUUUUGGCUUAUCUUACUGCAAUAUCUAAGCUUCUUCUAUUUCCUUUCUGUGUGCCACAGUUCACAUUUGUGUCUGUCAUGUUGUUUGCAUGUAUGUUUUCAUACCAAACUGCAGAGGAGGUCUGUUCAGUAGACUCUGCCCUGAAUGACAUGCAACCACUGAGUUACUGAUACGACUUCCUGCAUCUGUGAUAGCAUUCUGUGCAUCAACUGUAUUUCUGAAUUAGAUGUAGCAUUCACAGCAUCCAGAAUAUCACUUCAAUCAAGAUUCAUCACCUUUCAAAUGAGAAACAUCAACUGAUUGAAUUAGGUACAUUAAGAACUGAAUCGAAUGCAUACUGCAUUAAAUCAUUCAAUGAAAUCAACUUGUGUUAUAGAAUAAUGCAUUUCUGGAUUUAUUGCCUGGAUUGCAUGCACCUUUAAGGAAGCUUAUGUAUAGCUUCCUUAUUGAAAUGUUAUAUUUAAGAGAAAUUCAUGCCUUUAAAUUAAAUCAAUAAAACUGCAUGCCUUUUCAUAAAA